rnacentral:rRNA from 1 species
AACGAACGCUGGCGGCAUGCCUAACACAUGCAAGUCGAACGAGACCUUCGGGUCUAGUGGCGCACGGGUGCGUAACACGUGGGAAUCUGCCCUUUGCUUCGGAAUAACAGUUAGAAAUGACUGCUAAUACCGGAUGAUGUCGAAAGACCAAAGAUUUAUCGGCAAAGGAUGAGCCCGCGCAGGAUUAGGUAGUUGGUGGGGUAAAGGCCUACCAAGCCGACGAUCCUUAGCUGGUCUGAGAGGAUGAUCAGCCACACUGGGACUGAGACACGGCCCAGACUCCUACGGGAGGCAGCAGUGGGGAAUAUUGGACAAUGGGCGAAAGCCUGAUCCAGCAAUGCCGCGUGAGUGAUGAAGGCCUUAGGGUUGUAAAGCUCUUUUACCAGGGAUGAUAAUGACAGUACCUGGAGAAUAAGCUCCGGCUAACUCCGUG